GCCUGGGUGGCUCAGUCAGUUGAGCGUCUGACUUCAGCUCAGGUCAUGAUCUCACGGUUCAUGGGUUUGAGCCCCGCAUCGGGCU
rnacentral:tRNA from 1 species